rnacentral:rRNA from 1 species
CCAGCAACGCCGCGUGAGGGAAGAAGGUUUUCGGAUUGUAAACCUCUGUCGCAAGGGACGAAGAAGUGACGGUACCUUGUGAGGAAGCCCCGGCUAACUACGUGCCAGCAGCCGCGGUAAUACGUAGGGGGCGAGCGUUGUCCGGAAUUACUGGGCGUAAAGGGUGCGUAGGCGGCUUUUUAAGUUGGAUGUGAAAUACCCGGGCUUAACUUGGGGGGUGCAUUCAAAACUGGAGAGCUAGAGUUCAGGAGAGGGAAGCGGAAUUCCUAGUGUAGCGGUGAAAUGCGUAGAUAUUAGGAGGAACACCAGUGGCGAAGGCGGCUUUCUGGACUGACACUGACGCUGAGGCACGAAAGCGUGGGGAGCAAACAGGAUUAGAUACCCUGGUAGUCCACGCUGUAAACGAUGAAUACUAGGUGUAGGGGGUAUGAACUCCCCC